rnacentral:snoRNA from 1 species
GCAUAUGAUGGAGCAAAUAAGUAUGAAUAAAGCCAUGAUACUGUAUACACUUUCUAAAAUAUG